rnacentral:rRNA from 1 species
UGUACACGCUGUGACUAGCAUAUCAAUAAGCGGAGGAAAAGAAACUAACAAGGAUUCCCUUAGUAACGGCGAGUGAAGCGGGAAGAGCUCAAAUUUGAAAUCUUCAAGGUUUUACCUUGACGAAUUGUAGUUUAAAGAAGUGUUUUCUGCUGAAGUUUUGGUAAAAGUUCUUUGGAAUAGGACAUCAUAGAGGGUGAGAAUCCCGUAUUUGACCAUUAUUUUCAGCUUUGUGAUACACUUUCAAAGAGUCGGGAUUGUUUGGGAAUGCAGUCCCAAAACUGGGAUGGUAAAUUUCAUUCUAAGGCUAAAUAUUGGCGAGAGACCGAUAGCGAACAAGUACCGUGAGGGAAAGAUGAAAAGAACUUUGAAAAGAGAGUUAAACUAGUACGUGAAAUUGUCAAAAGGGAAGCGUUUAACACCAGUGUUGUUUUCUGAAAAUCAACCUCUGUUAGCUUUAUGCAUGUUUGGUUAGACCUAAUCAGCUAUCUUUCAUGUUCUAUUGUUUGCAGUGGUGCACUUUUCAGUUUACAGGUCAACAUCAGUUUUUUUUACCGUAAAAAAGUUAAAGAAAGGUAGCUCAUGGCUCCGGUCCGUGAGUGUUAUAGUCUCUUUCCUAUGCGGUAGGAGAGACUGAGGUCUGCAGUGUAGGCUAUUUGGCUAGAUACUCAGGUGCUAUGUGAUACCAUUUCAUAAACAACUUGUUGAUUAUGUUUUGUCUAUUGCAUACUCGCUUGUACUAUCAUACCUACGCUUAGGAUGUUGAGUAGCGACAUACGCAC